rnacentral:rRNA from 1 species
GACGAACGCUGGCGGCGUGCUUAACACAUGCAAGUCGAACGGGAUCCACUGGGCUUUUGUUUGGUGGUGAGAGUGGCGAACGGGUGAGUAAUGCGUGACUAACCUGCCGUAUGGUUGGGGAUAGCUCCUGGAAACGGGUGGUAAUACCCAAUGCUCCAGCUGGAUGCAUGUCUGGUUGGGAAAGCUUUUGUGCCAUAUGAUGGGGUCGCGUCCUAUCAGCUUGUUGGUGGGGUGAUGGCCUACCAAGGCGUCGACGGGUAGCCGGCCUAAGAGGGCGACCGGCCACAUUGGGACUGAGAUACGGCCCAGACUCCUACGGGAGGCAGCAGUGGGGAAUAUUGCACAAUGGGCGCAAGCCUGAUGCAGCGACGCCGCGUGCGGGAUGGAGGCCUUCGGGUUGUAAACCGCUUUUAUAGGGGGGCAAGCUAUGCCUGUGUGGUGUGGUGAGUGGACUUUAUGAAUAAGCACCG